rfam:Prevotella bryantii B14 contig_100, whole genome shotgun sequence.
GUCCUGAAUGGUAUUGAGGACAAACCCUCUCGCAAGAGAGAGCCGGGAAAGAAGGUCACAUCUCGGCAAACAGAGUAUUAACUAGGGUGCGGUGACCUCUCCCUAACUCU